AACAUCUAGACUUCAUUAUUGACGUGUCAUUUGGCUUGAAAGGGGAAAUGCAAACACCCAAGGGACCUUUGUAUAUCAAAAUCAAAGUAGCACCUUGCGUGCUUUUUGUGCCUGUAUUGAAUAUUUAAUUAGAAUCGACCCAAGUGUAAAAGUAGCCCAGUUUUCACUGUAUUGGCAGUAACCUAUUGAAGUAAACAGAAUAGAGCGGUCUCUGAGGUUUAGGCCAACAGUCGCUGUUACUUUCCUAGAGUCUACCACGGGAUGGUAUAAGGAUACGUGGAAUAGCAUCCGGCUGUUCAUCUUAGUGCCAUGUACACCAAAAUUAAAGUGAUAACGAAGUUGUCAGUUGCCAACGAUGUAGUGAGAAGAAUAUUGAUGUUGGAUCCUCCUAUCAUUGGGGUGAGCGGCAAAGGAGUCCCAUUCAAUAACUUAGAGACAAUUACUUUGGUGACAGUUGUCACAUUGCAUGGAGAAGUUUUCAUCUUUGACAUCAGAAAAAACAGAGAUUUGAUGAUCAGCGGAGGAGUGGGUCGUGUGCUACAGUCAAAGGAAUUAA